rnacentral:rRNA from 1 species
UGCCCAAGAGAUCGGGAUAACACCUGGAAACAGAUGCUAAUACCGGAUAACAACAGAUGAUGCCUAUCAACUGUUUAAAAGAUGGUUCUGCUAUCACUCUUGGAUGGACCUGCGGUGCAUUAGCUAGUUGGUAGGGUAACGGCCUACCAAGGCGAUGAUGCAUAGCCGAGUUGAGAGACUGAUCGGCCACAUGGGACUGAGACACGGCCCAAACUCCUACGGGAGGCAGCAGC